ACCCAAGUCACCUGUUGAACACUUUGCUGC
rnacentral:piRNA from 1 species